rnacentral:misc_RNA from 1 species
AUCAACUUCCUCUUUCUUUCUUCAUUUUCCUUCACUUCCAACAUUUUAAUUUGUGAUAUUAUCGAUCCUUAAAAAAUGGCUGAAGAAGUCGCCUUCAGUAUCGCAGAACAAGUAAUAACAAAGUUGGGGUCACUUGCUUUCCAAGAAAUUGAAUUGAUAAGUGGUGCCAAAGAUGAUCUGAAGAAGUUUGAAAAUUCUCUCUCCACUAUCAAAGCGGUGCUUAUAGAUGCUGAGGAGAAGCAAGAGAAGAGCCUUGCAGUAAAGAGUUGGCUAAGGAGGCUUCAAGAUAUUGUGUAUGAAGCGGAGGAAUUGGUAGAUGAGAUGGCAACUCAUGACUUGAGGGGGAUGGUGCAAGGCCAAAGGAAAGUCGCAACACAGGUAUUGGACUUCUUUUCCUCCUCAAAUCAGAUUUGGUUUCGUCUCAAGGUGGGCCAUAGAAUUAAGGACAUUAGGGAGAAGUUAAAAGAGGUGGAAAAUGAAAUUUCUAGCCUCAAUUUAGAGAAGAAAAUAAUAAUAGAUGUGAGAGAUAAAAGUAGUGGAAGGAAGACAUCCUCUGUACUGAAACCUGAUAUAAUAGGCAGGGAAAAAGAUAAGGAGAAAAUGACUUUGUCAUUGUUGAAUCCAACUAGUAGUCAAGGAAGUGUUUCUGUGAAUGCUAUUGUUGGCAUUGGGGGCUUAGGAAAGACUGCACUUGCCCAGUUGGUGUAUAAUGAUGAAAAGGUUAAAAAUUACUUUGAGAAGAAGAUGUGGGUAUGUGUUUCUGAGGAAUUUGAGGUGAAAUUGCUAGUUAAGAAGAUCCUUGGAAGUGCAACUAAUAGUGAAGUUCUUAAUUUAGAACUAGAAGAACUGCAUAUUCGUCUUAAAGGGAAUUUAGAAGGGAAGAGGUAUUUGUUGGUGUUAGAUGAUGUAUGGAAUGAUGAUCAGAAAAAAUGGGAUGAUUUGAAAGCUUACUUGUUGGUGGGUGCCCCAGGAAGUAAAAUUUUAGUCACCACUCGUUGUACAAGAGUUGCAUCAGUCAUGGGUGUGGACUCCCCAUAUGUUUUGCAAGGUCUAGCAGACAAUGAGGCUUGGGAUUUAUUUGAAAAAUUAGCAUUUGGAGAGUGGGGUGGUGGGGUGAAUCCUAACCUAAUAAAAAUUGGAAGAGUGAUGGUAAAGAAAUGUAAAGGAGUUCCACUUGCAAUAAGGAGUUUAGGAAGCCUCAUGCGUUUGAAAACUAAAGAGAGUGAGUGGUCUUCCAUUUUAGAAAGUGACUUAUUAAAGUCAUUUCAAACAAGUGAGAAUGAGAAUGUUCUUUCUGUGCUGAAGUUGAGUUACUAUCACUUGCCCACUUAUUUAAGGCAAUGUUUCACUUAUUGUGCCAUGUUUCCCAAAGAUUACGAAUUCGAUAAAGAAACAUUGAUUCGUUUGUGGAUAGCGCAAGGAUACAUUGUCUGUUCAAGUAAGGAUGACGAUUUAGAGGAUAUUGGAGAUCAGUACUUCAAUGAAUUAUUAUGUCGAUCAUUCUUCCAUCAGUCAGAAAGUAUGGAUGGUUAUAAAAUGCAUGAUCUUAUCCAUGAUCUAGCACAAUCGAUAGCAAAGGAUAGGUACUUUGCAGUAGAGAAUGUUUGCGAAGGAAUCCAUCAUGUAUAUUGGCCAUCUUCUUUGAAUGAAAUUGAGAUGCUGGUUAAAGUGAAGGGCAUGAGGACAUUAUUUUUUGAAAGUUUUCCUAAAAGUGUAACAUUAAAAAAGGUUUCAAAUUUUCAAAGGUUACGUGCCUUGCAUUUAGGGUGGAAUAUAAAGGGAGUACCAAAUUCAAUAGCAAGAUUGAAGUAUUUGAGAUAUCUUGACAUUUCUAGGUGUAAGAUGGAAACGCUCCCAAAGUCCAUAAAUAAUUUGCAAAACUUGCAAACUCUAAUACUCUCAUAUUGUAGAAGGCUUCGAGAAUUGCCGAGAGAUAUAGAAAAAUUGAUCAGCCUUAGGUGCCUCAUGAUUAAUGGAUGUGAGAGCCUAAGAUGCAUGCCAAUUGGAUUGGGGAAAUUAACUUGUUUGCGCCAACUGUCAGAUUUUGUGGUGGCAUGGGAUGAAGGCUCUAAGGGGGCUAUGCUAAAUGAAUUGAAUAGCCUAAACCAACUUAAGGGAAGGAUUGUCCUCCAAGACCUUACAAAUGUGGAAAAUGUUGAGAUAGAGUCCAACCAAGUGAAUUUAAGGGAAAAGAAACACCUCCAGUAUUUGGAGUUAUGUUGGAGAAAUACUUAUCUUUAUGAGGGCCCUAUUGAUAAUACUGAAGUUGAAAAGAAUGAAUUGUUAGAAAAGCUUGAGCCUCAUCCAAAUUUACAAUCCUUGGUUGUGGAAUCUUUCAAGGGUGUGAGAUUUUCAAGUUGGUUGUCUUCUAUCACAAAUUUAGUAGAAAUUAAGCUUUUUCAUUGUAAAAAAUUGAAGCAGCUACCACCAUUGCACCAACUCCCUUCUCUAAAAACCCUUUGUCUUGAAGAACUUGUUUCUCUGGAGUAUAUAUCAGAUGAGGAGCCUUCCUUUUUGGCAUCGCCAUCAAUUACAUUAUUCCCAUCACUGCAAGAGAUUGAACUCAAUGAUUGCUAUAAUUUGAGAGGAUGGUGGAGGAAGAAGAGGAGUGGGGUUGAACUUGCUCAAUUUCCUUGUCUUUCAAAAAUGCAAAUCCGGGACUGCCCCAAGCUUAUUGUAGAUGAUGGUGAAGUCAUUGAAUGGGGAAGUUUCAGGAGUCUUCAAUCUCUUUCUAUUGGAUUUCUUUCAGAAUGGACAUCUCUACCAAAGGGGCUUCAAUUUGCGACAAACCUGCAAGAGCUCACCAUCGAUUAUUGUUCUAGUUUGAUGGCUUUACCAGAUUGGAUAGGCAACCUCACAUCCCUUCAACGGCUAGAAAUUUCCUAUUGCCCUGAUUUGAGAUCGCUGCCUGAGGGAAUGCAUUUACUGACUUCUUUACAGAAGUUGAAGAUUACAGGAUGCCGCGAGUUGUCUGCAAGAUGUAUGAAGGAAAAGGGUGUGGAUUGGCCAAAGAUUGCUCACAUCCCAAAUAUUAGUAUUGACGAUAGAUGGAUU